rnacentral:rRNA from 1 species
UACGUAGGGGGCAAGCGUUGUCCGGAUUUAUUGGGCGUAAAGAGCGUGUAGGCUGCCUUGCAAGUCGGGUGUGAAAGCCCUGGGCUCAACCUAGGAAGUGCACUCGAAACUGCGGGGCUGGAGUCCUGGAGAGGAAGGCGGAAUUCUCGGUGUAGAGGUGAAAUUCGUAGAUAUCGAGAGGAACACCGGUGGCGAAGGCGGCCUUCUGGACAGUGACUGACGCUGAGACGCGAAAGCGUGGGGAGCAAACAGG